UGGUCUCAGUGCCUCACCCCCAGAUCUGCAUCGGAAUGUAGAAAAGAUCCUUUUUUUUUUUUUAAAGAAAAAAAGUUUUGAAUUCCUCAAUGAUUUUUCUUCUGGAAAGGCAGCUUAGGAUAAUUAUUUCAGCUUUAUUGAGGGCAGAUUAGUUGAAGUCUGGACGCUGCGUUUUCAAUACACGUUGUACACGGGCCGACAAUGUGG
rnacentral:lncRNA from 2 species